rnacentral:rRNA from 1 species
GAUGAACGCUGGCGGCGUGCCUAAUACAUGCAAGUCGAGCGAACAGACGAGGAGCUUGCUCCUCUGACGUUAGCGGCGGACGGGUGAGUAACACGUGGAUAACCUACCUAUAAGACUGGGAUAACUUCGGGAAACCGGAGCUAAUACCGGAUAAUAUAUUGAACCGCAUGGUUCAAUAGUGAAAGACGGUUUUGCUGUCACUUAUGGAUGGAUCCGCGCCGCAUUAGCCAGUUGGUAAGGUAACGGCUUACCAAGGCAACGAUGCGUAGCCGACCUGAGAGGGUGAUCGGCCACACUGGAACUGAGACACGGUCCAGACUCCUACGGGAGGCAGCAGUAGGGAAUCUUCCGCAAUGGGCGAAAGCUUGACGGAGCAACGCCGCGUGAGUGAUGAAGGUCUUCGGAUCGUAAAACUCUGUUAUUAGGGAAGAACAAAUGUGUAAGUAACUAUGCACGUCUUGACGGUACCUAAUCAGAAAGCCACGGCUAACUACGUG